rnacentral:rRNA from 1 species
GUACUAUGAUAAUUCAACUAAGUGAUUUAGGUCAAGUUCACCU